rnacentral:pre_miRNA from 1 species
UCUAGAACUCAAGAUAUGAGCUGAAAACCGAACAGUGUUUGAGCUGCAGGACAGGUUCCGACUUCUCCGUUGUUGGUAAGAUUUGAACUUGAAAACGGCAGAAUUGAGUCUUGGACUCUCAUGAAAGUUUUAGGUCUAUGUCAUAGCUUUCCAUC